GAAGAGCCUCCUCAUGCUAAUUGCUCUGGGGAGGCAUGAAAAGGACCCAAGGACACCAAUUUUCACCUGAGGAGUCUGGGGACGUCAAACCUUUGUGAGUGUCUUCACCAUGGCCUGGACAACGCUCCUUCUUGGGCUGCUCGCCUACAGCUCAGGGGCUGAAUCUCAGACUGUGGUGAUCCAGGAACCGUCACUGUCAGUGUCUCCAGGAGGGACGACCACACUUACCUGUGGCCUUAGCUCUGGGUCAGUCUCUACGGGAUAUUACCCAGGCUGGUACCAGCAGGCACCAGGCCAGUCUCCACGAACGCUUAUCUACAGCACGAACAACCGCCCCUCUGGAGUCCCUGGUCGCUUCUCAGGCUCCAUUGCUGGGAACAAAGCCGCCCUCACCAUCACGGGGGCCCAGGCUGAGGACAAGAGCGAUUAUUACUGUUCACUGUACGUGGGUGGUGGCAUUUCCACAGUGAUUUAAACACCCGGGGAAGUG